AGCGAACGCUGGCGGCAGGCCUAACACAUGCAAGUCGAACGAACCUUUCGGGGUUAGUGGCGGACGGGUGAGUAACACGUGGGAACGUGCCUUUAGGUUCGGAAUAACUCAGGGAAACUUGUGCUAAUACCGAAUGUGCCCUUCGGGGGAAAGAUUAAUCGCCUUUAGAGCGGCCCGCGUCUGAUUAGCUAGUUGGUUGAGGUAAUGGCUCACCAAGGCGACGAUCAGUAGCUGGUCUGAGAGGAUGAUCAGCCACAUUGGGACUGAGACACGGCCCAAACUCCUACGGGAGGCAGCAGUGGGAAAUCUUGCGCAAUGGGCGAAAGCCUGACGCAGCCAUGCCGCGUGAAUGAUGAAGGUCUUAGGAUUGUAAAAUUCUUUCACCGGGGACGAUAAUGACGGUACCCGGAGAAGAAGCCCCGGCUAACUUCGUG
rnacentral:rRNA from 1 species